rnacentral:rRNA from 1 species
GAUGAACGCUGGCGGCGUGCCUAAUACAUGCAAGUCGAGCGAACGGACGAGAAGCUUGCUUCUCUGAUGUUAGCGGCGGACGGGUGAGUAACACGUGGAUAACCUACCUAUAAGACUGGGAUAACUUCGGGAAACCGGAGCUAAUACCGGAUAAUAUUUUGAACCGCAUGGUUCAAAAGUAAAAGACGGUCUUGCUGUCACUUAUAGAUGGAUCCGCGCUGCAUUAGCUAGUUGGUAAGGUAACGGCUUACCAAGGCAACGAUGCAUAGCCGACCUGAGAGGGUGAUCGGCCACACUGGAACUGAGACACGGUCCAGACUCCUACGGGAGGCAGCAGUAGGGAAUCUUCCGCAAUGGGCGAAAGCCUGACGGAGCAACGCCGCGUGAGUGAUGAAGGUCUUCGGAUCGUAAAACUCUGUUAUUAGGGAAGAAUAUAUGUGUAAGUAACUGUGCACAUCUUGACGGUACCUAAUCAGAAAGCCACGGCUGACUACGUGCCAGCAGCCGCGGUAAUACGUAGGUGGCAAGCGUUAUCCGGAAUUAUUGGGCGUAAAGCGCGCGUAGGCGGUUUUUUAAGUCUGAUGUGAAAGCCCACGGCUCAACCGUGGAGGGUCAUUGGAAACUGGAAAACUUGAGUGCAGAAGAGGAAAGUGGAAUUCCAUGUGUAGCGGUGAAAUGCGCAGAGAUAUGGAGGAACACCAGUGGCGAAGGCGACUUUCUGGUCUGUAACUGACGCUGAUGUGCGAAAGCGUGGGGAUCAAACAGGAUUAGAUACCCUGGUAGUCCACGCCGUAAACGAUGAGUGCUAAGUGUUAGGGGGUUUCCGCCCCUUAGUGCUGCAGCUAACGCAUUAAGCACUCCGCCUGGGGAGUACGACCGCAAGGUUGAAACUCAAAGGAAUUGACGGGGACCCGCACAAGCGGUGGAGCAUGUGGUUUAAUUCGAAGCAACGCGAAGAACCUUACCAAAUCUUGACAUCCUUUGACAACUCUAGAGAUAGAGCCUUCCCCUUCGGGGGACAAGGUGACAGGUGGUGCAUGGUUGUCGUCAGCUCGUGUCGUGAGAUGUUGGGUUAAGUCCCGCAACGAGCGCAACCCUUAAGCUUAGUUGCCAUCAUUAAGUUGGGCACUCUAAGUUGACUGCCGGUGACAAACCGGAGGAAGGUGGGGAUGACGUCAAAUCAUCAUGCCCCUUAUGAUUUGGGCUACACACGUGCUACAAUGGACAAUACAAAGGGCAGCGAAACCGCGAGGUCAAGCAAAUCCCAUAAAGUUGUUCUCAGUUCGGAUUGUAGUCUGCAACUCGACUACAUGAAGCUGGAAUCGCUAGUAAUCGUAGAUCAGCAUGCUACGGUGAAUACGUUCCCGGGUCU